rnacentral:hammerhead_ribozyme from 1 species
AUUCAGCCGAAGAGUCCCAAGUAGGAUGAAACGUACGUUCUAAAU